CUAGCUAGCAACUGUACCUGUUGGCAUUCGGUUAAAUCGAAUCGGAUACGUCCAUAAGCGGGUUCGAUCCGGCGAGUAUUAUAUUAUUUAAUUGGAUUAGAAUUAAUCUUACUUUUAAAUUUGAAAGUUAGUUAGAAAUAAAUCCUACUCAUAUUAGGAUAACAAUUAAUAACCGAUUUGACCUUAUCUCUAACGUUAUUAGGAUUUUAGAAUUCCUUAUAAAUAUGCGGGCGAUCCCAUAUAAAAAAAAAACAACAAGAAUGAAAAAAAAAAGAAAAAAAAAAAAACGAAAGAGAGAAACCAUAUCCUCCAUCAACCUAUUAUUCUAACCUAUUAUUCUAAGAGGGAUUUGAACGGUGAAUUUGUGAUCGUGCUCGUUUGUAAUUCGAUCCAUCGCGAGUUUGGAACGUAAGAAGAUUUAAUCAAGAACGAUCAAAGGACACGUGAAUCAACCUCGUCGAUCCGGAUUCAUCGCAUUGUAACGCGAAUCGCUUCUGCAAAAAAGUACGAAUGAAUACUUUCGCUGCGUUCUACAGUACCGUCACCGCAUACUCCUCCUCCACCUCCGCCCCCUUUCACACUAUUAUUAUA
rnacentral:lncRNA from 1 species